rnacentral:rRNA from 1 species
AUACCAGCACCCCGAGUGGUCGGGACGAUUAUUGGGCCUAAAGCAUCCGUAGCCGGUCCUACAAGUCUUCCGUUAAAUCCACCUGCUUAACAGAUGGGCUGCGGGGGAUACUGCAGAGCUAGGAGGCGGGAGAGGCAAACGGUACUCAGUGGGUAGGGGUAAAAUCCUUUGAUCUACUGAAGACCACCAGUGGCGAAGGCGGUUUGCCAGAGCGCGCUCGACGGUGAGGGAUGAAAGCUGGGGGAGCAAACCGGAUUAGAUACCCGGGUAGUCCCAGCUGUAAACGAUGCAGACUCGGUGAUGGGUUGGCCUCGAGCCAACCCAGUGCCGCAGGGAAGCCGUUAAGUCUGCCGCCUGGGGAGUACGGUCGCAAGACUGAAACUCAAAUGAAUUGGCGGGG